ACUGUUUGUUUAUUUACGAUCAAACAUCAAAAUUGAAAGUGAAAGCUGAGAACGAAUUCACAACGUUUUCUUUAAAAAUGUUAGAAAAUCGUUUGGAAUCCAACGUCAAUUUGAAUAGCGUCAUUUGCGAAUUGGAAAAAUCAGAAAAACUGUUCAUAGAACAGCUGUCUAAAUAUGAGGACUUUACAAUGGAUAAAUUCGUCGAAGAUGUCGAAAGACGAAGAGAGAAAGAAUACGAAAACGUAAAAAGCGAAGUGCGAUUUGUUGUCGAAAAACUACAAGAAAAACUAAAGAAUUUUCAAAACAACAAAUUUCCCUCAAUCGAAGCUCUGCCAGAUUUCAAAAAGGAAAUGCUCGAACUUCAAACGAAAAUCACAAAUUUGAAACAAAACUCCCAACAAACGUUGGCCGUUUUGAAAAUGGAGGAGAAAAACUUGACGAAAGAUUUACAAAAAAUCAGCGAAAGCAUCGAUUUGACUCGCAAACAAAGUGCAAUCACGAUCAAGAUACCUAAAAUGGAAGCGGCAAUCAACGAAUCCGGCGAUAAAAUUAACAAAGUAAAGGAAACAAAGGAUUUUAUGGAUUUCGUUCAUUUAGUCUCGGACGAGUGCGGACUCACUUUCGACGAUUUUACGAUGUUUUUGAACGUCGCCAAGAAUAACGACGACAUUUACGACGUUUUGACCACAGUCUCUAAGCAAAAGCCAGAAAUACCCGAAGAAAUUUGGUUGAGAAUCACCGAAUUUUACAUACAAUUUAACGAAAUGCGAAACAGAAAACCGAAAAAAUUGAUGUUCGAUCGAAAAAAUUCGGAAAAACGAGUCGACAAUUUUUUGAAUUUGGAAACGAUGAAGGAGAAUCUGCUCGAGUGGAAGCUGAAAAAGGAGGAGAAGAAAAAAACGGUCGAGGCGUACGACAAAUUCAUGGAAAGGGAGCGCAAAAGAUUGAACGAGCAAGAGCGGAAGCGUAGAGACUACGUCAAAAACAUGGUCAAUCUGUGGAAGCUGGAGAACGAACGUCGCAACAUCGAAAAUCGAGAAGCGAAUCGCGUCGAGAAAACGCUCAAGUCACGCGAAAUCAACAAGGAAAUCAAACAGUUUCAGAAACGUGACGAAAUCUAUCUCAGGAAUAAAAUGCGACUGACCGAAAAGGUGAAGAAGCAACGUGAAAGCGUGAAAAGGACGCCCAAAACGAAAUCGAGCAAGCUGAUGAUGAACACGAAACAGUUCAUGAACAGGAUCAAAAAGACGAACGAGAAAAAGGACAAACCGACCGAAGGAAACAUCAGGAACAUCCAGAAAUUUUUGACGUUUCUGAACGAAAAACAAGUCGACGAAUCGCCUUUUUCUCGUCUGAAUCGGAUAGUUUUACACUAAAGUCUAUCUGCAUAUAUUGUUUUCUUUUCCAAAUUCUCCGCACUUUUCUUAUGAUAUGUUGGCGAUUCCGCAGUGGAGAAAAGGGUUGCUUUGAUUGGUCCGUCAACCUUCAAAUAAUCUAGUCCAUUAUCACUCAUCACCCCUUUUGUCGUUUCAUAUCAAUAAAAACUGACAACGUGUCGUUGUUCAUAAACUAA